GACGAACGCUGGCGGCGUGCUUAACACAUGCAAGUCGAACGGAGAACCCCUGCGGAGGGGGGGAGCGGGGAAGGGGAAAGGAAGAGGUGGGCGAGCGUACCCCGGCCCUGGGAUAACGAUAAGAUAAGGGGGCUAAGACUGGAAGCGGACAGGAUCUCGCACGGGAGGGUGGGGAAAGGGUCGCCGGGUGGGGAUGGGCUCGCGUCGUAUCAGCUUGUUGGUGGGGUAGGGGCGUACCAAGGCGAUGACGGGUAGCCGGCCUGAGAGGGUGACCGGCCACACUGGGACUGAGAUACGGCCCAGACUCCUACGGGAGGCAGCAGUGGGGAAUAUUGCGCAAUGGGCGGAAGCCUGACGCAGCGACGCCGCGUGGGGGAUGACGGCCUUCGGGUUGUAAACCUCUUUCGGCUGUGACGAAGCGCGAGUGACGGUACCUGGUGAAGAAGCACCGGCUAACUACGUG
rnacentral:rRNA from 1 species